AGCGGCCAGGGCAAUAACGGAACUAAAAGGUAACAGAAUAUUCUAAAUAAAAGAAUCCUUGAUUCCUCUUGGUGACAACUCAGGCUCUUCAAGCAUCUCACUUAAGGAUGACAUUUCCGGUUGGGUUUAUUUAGUUGGCUCUUAUAGUAUAUCAUUUGUUUUCAGUCUGGUUAGUCAAAGGUCUCUAACAUUCUUGUUAUUGAUUUCUGUACUAAUAUAUGUAUGCACAUGUUUUAGUAUUACACACCGUUCAGGUGUAAAUAAUAGAAUAUCUAAUGGCAUUGAUGGCAGCAGUUAAAAAC